rnacentral:lncRNA from 1 species
CGCACCCCCCUUCGCUGGUUUUUUUUUUUUUUUAGAUCCAGGGAGAGGAACUUGAAAGGGGGGUUGUGUAAUGUACCUUUUCCAAUCCCGGGCUGUAUAUGGAGAUUUGGGAUUCUUUAAACCGGCGCUACCUGGAUUUUAUUAAAAAGCGGGGAGCUCGGCGGGAGGAAAGCUGGCUUUUCCGGGGGCUGCGGGAGCGGGGCCGCGGGAGGGCGGAGGAGUUGGCGCGCAGAGCGCUCGGCCCAGGGAGCGGUUUUCUACCAAAAAAAGGAAAGGCGGGCAAAAAGUGUGAAGCGGCUGCGGGUGGCGGAGGGGAGCGGCGGCCGCGGGAUGGCGGGCAGCACAGGCGCUUAGCCGCGCCGGGAGCCGGGGCCGCCGCCGGAGUCGCUGUUGCCGGAGCCCGGAGCCGGGAGCCCCGCCGCGCCAGACGCUGUGUGUGCCACCUCGCGCAGCUCCGCCUGGUCGCCCGGAGGGGUUCCACCGCCCGCCGGCCGCGCGCCCCAGGCGGGCCCGCCACCGAGCGCCAGCCGCGGCCAUGCACACUACGGAGCCCCCGCCACCCGAGGACUCUGGGACUACGUUGAGGCUAAACUUUUAGGUCCCACGGAGUGAGGCCUGCGGGCCGGGUGGGGGGCUGGCCGCGGCACUCCCGCGGAGGAUGGAUGGCCGAGACUUCGGGCCCCAGCGGUCCGUGCAUGGCCCCCCGCCGCCGCUGCUGUCCGGCUUGGCCAUGGACAGCCACCGCGUGGGCGCGGCUACUGCCGGACGCUUGCCUGGCUCCAGCUUGCCCGGCCCGCUGCCGCCCGGGAAGUACAUGGCCGGCCUCAACCUCCACCAGCACCCGGUAGGUGUGUGGUGACCCCCCCCGGGGGGGGGGGACCCUUGUUUUCUGGCUGGAGCAAGGGCACUCGGUGCAGACGCUGAAACCGAGCCGCUGCUACCGCGAUCCUAGGGGAAAGAGGCCACCCGGAGAGUGGCAACCUGCCCAUGGUGCAGCUGUGGGCCCCCCAUGCCCAUGAAGGCUUCUCCCACCUGCCCAGUGGGCUGUACCC